UACGUAGGGUGCAAGCGUUGUCCGGAAUUAUUGGGCGUAAAGGGCGCGUAGGCGGCCUGUUAAGUCGGACGUGAAAUCCCUCGGCUCAACCGGGGAACUGCGUCCGAUACUGGCGGGCUUGAAUUCGGGAGAGGGAUGUGGAAUUCCAGGUGUAGCGGUGAAAUGCGUAGAUAUCAGGAGGAACACCGGUGGCGAAGGCGGCUUGCUGGGCCAGUUCUGACGCUGAGGAGCGAAAGCGUGGGGAGCGAACAGG
rnacentral:rRNA from 1 species